UGUCCUGAAAAAAUAGAUGUUAUGGACUGUGAUUGUUUUUCAAAAGGAAAAAGCAAAGGUGUGAAACAAAAAUCAGUUUCCAGCAGCUGUUGGUGGUAAAGUGUCCAGUGCCCACCACAGCCAGAGAGAAAGCUGCUGAAUAUUUUGAAUUUCCCUCGGGAUUAAUAAAGCGUCUGUCCGUCGAGUCGUCGGAUCCUCUUGAUCCUCAUCAGGGUCAUGGGGGGCUGGAGUCUAUCCCAGCUGACUGCGGGUGAAGGCAGGGGACACCUGGACAGGGGGAGGUGGUGCACUGGCUGGCCUGUUGGCUGGAUGCAGCCUGCAGGAAGGGCUCCACUCCCACAGUGGGUAAAGGACUGAUGGAGGGAGGAUCCUUCACUCGUCCAAACUCAGGUCAGACGCUGGCGCCUCUGCAGGACAAUAAUCCAGUAAAACCUGCCUCUGAAUACGGCCCAAUGCAUAAAAACACUCAACUAUUUUAAAUAACUAAUGGAUUCUGGUUAAAUGUCUUUUAUUCUUUUAAAGCUGUGUAAUCCUUCAAACUACUGGAUCAUGAACUAUGUGUUUGCAAACUCAGGCUUUGCCAAAGUGAGUUGAAAAAUGUCAGCAGUUGUUCAGUGAGUUAUUUUAAACAGGAGCCAGUGAACAAGCACAGUAGACCUGUUUUUAUAUCUCCUCUUUGUCUGUGUCACAGAGCUACCUCAGGUUAUAAACGUUUCUCAGAGAGCCCAUAGUGUACACAUUUAGAGGUUCCGAAUUGAUUUUGUGGGUCGAGUAGAAUGUUUACAAGUAUUCAUUUUCAAAAAACACAUUAUUUUAACAUGAGUAUUGGGAUGUAGCAGCAGCAGAAGAAGCUGCUCAUUCUUUGUUUGAGGCCAAACUAGCCACCAGGCAGGCGUUUUGUGUUACAUGGUGAUGUAGAUCAGUAACAGAAGAAAUAACUGCACUCUGAAUGAGAUAUUGUGAUAUGAUGAUAACAACAGAGCAGCCCCUUAUUCAUAUGAUUUCUGAAAACAGAAAUAUGUGAACUGGUGAUUCCAACACAAGAAUGAUCCAGGAUUAGAAAACGAAUGCGUUUAACCUGCUGUCUUUAGAUGCUCUGCCAAGGUGGUUGUUGAGUUGUGAUAUUAAAAAGUUUUUUGCAAAGUUUAUCUUCGAUUUUAACAAAAAUGCAACCACACCAUCAAGAUGACUUCUUCGACUUGGUAUCAGACUAUUUAGUUCAGCCACUGAACUGAAAAUGUUUUCCUGUUCUUUUUUAGACUUGUCG